rnacentral:rRNA from 1 species
CCUACGGGUGGCAGCAGUGGGGAAUAUUGGACAAUGGGGGGAACCCUGAUCCAGCGACGCCGCGUGAGUGAAGAAGUAUUUAGGUAUGUAAAGCUCUAUCAGCAGGGAAGAAAGGAAUGACGGUACCUGACUAAGAAGCCCCGGCUAACUACGUGCCAGCAGCCGCGGUAAUACGUAGGGGGAAAGCGUUAGCCGGAUUUACUGGGUGUAAAGGUAGCGUAGACGGUUACGCAAGUCUGGAGUGAAAGGCGGGGGCCCAACCCCCGGACGGCUUGGGAAACUGUAUAACUGGAGUGCAGGAGAGGUAAGUGGAAUUCGUGGUGUGGCGGUGAAAUGCGUAGAUAUUAGGAGGAACACCAGUGGCGAAGGCGGCUUACGGGACUGUAACUGACGUUGAGGCUCGAAGGCGUGGGGAGCAAACAGGAUUAGAUACCCGGUAGUC